AUAAGUCAAACCACUUUUCAUUAACUAAAAUCAAUCAACACACAAAUGUUUUCUACUUAAGAACUACGUAAAUCUUGAUUUCCCUAUUGCACCCGGGGAUACGUAGGAGCAGGACGAACUCUUGUCAGACACAAGAAUAAAAAAUAAAAAACAAAAACUUUUUUCUGUAACUAAUUAAUUGAUUUAACAAGCUUUAGGGUAUGUCUAGUUCCAUGCGAUUAUUGCGGGUACCGUUUGAUAACGGGCGAACGGGGUGCUAAUACCUUCCCUGAUUCGUAAUCGAUUCCCGAGUCCAGAGAUCUAGUUCAAAGGCCAAGUCUUUCCAAUUAUUUUGGGCGUCGAAAGGGUUUUCUACGUUUUGACCGCAAAAACGUGGUGGCGACUCCAAUCUAGUCGUGUGAUCGGUGUUCGGCCGAAAAUCGGGGCGCGACAUUCUUAGACCUCACUAAGUGGGAAUACAGUAUAUAUCAUCUGAAAUCCAUGGCAUUUCAGCAAUUAGAUGUAGUUUUGUUAGUUGGGGC
rnacentral:lncRNA from 1 species